rnacentral:piRNA from 1 species
UCAGAGCCUGGUCGCCUCACAGAGG